AACCGUUAUUUUUUAAUGGCCAUUUAAAUAUUUUUCAUCUAUAUAAACAAAAGAAAGUCGUGACAGUUACCAACACAUAACUCGAGAACGACUGAAUAGAUUUUUAUGAAAGUUUCCACGUGUAUUUGACCGGACCGAGAAUAGGUUGUUAUGUAUUUUUCAUAUCCGUACGUCGUAACGGGGGCUGCCCCCCUAAUAUAUUUUUUUAUGUUUUUGGUCAAACUGUUUUUUCUUAAUUUUGUGUGAUGUGGAAGGCAAAGGUAAAUACAACCCUAAAUUUUCUCUUUUCUAUCUUCGACCAUUAUUUUUUAAUAGCCAUCUAAAAUUUUGCAUCUUAUAUAUAAAAAUCAUUUGCUGUGCGUUAGUCUCGCUAAAACUCGAGAAUGGCUGGACCGAUGUGGCUAAUUUUGAUGUUGAAUUAUUUGUGGAAGUUCAGGGAAGGUUUAUACGGUUUUAUAUUGUCAUUUUAGUAGCCACCAAAAUUUUUACAGCUAUAUGUAUAAAAUGCUCUUUUUACACUGUUUGUUGCCAUACUCCUCCGAAACGACUUGACCGAUUUUUAUGUGAGUUUGCAAGUAUACUCGACUGGCCUGGGAGUAGGUUUUUAUCUAUAUUUCUUAUCCGUGCGUCUUAAGGGGGGUUGCCCCCCUUAUAUUUAUUUCUAUUUUUUCAGACAAUCUCUUUUUUUUUAAUUUCAUAUGAUGUGGAACGUAAAGAUACAUACAACCCUAAAUUUUCACUUUUCUAUCACUAACCGUUAUUUUUUAAUGGCCAUUUAAAUAUUUUACAUCUAUAUAAACAAAAGAAAGUCGUGACAGUUACCAACACAUAACUCGAGAACGACUGAAUAGAUUUUUAUGAAAUUUUCCACGUAUAUUCGACCGGACCGAGAAUAGGUUGUUAUGUAUUUUUCAUAUCCGUACGUCGUAACGGGGGCUGCCCCCCUAAUAUAUUUUUUUAUUUUUUUGGUCAAACUGUUUUUUCUUAAUUUUGUGUGAUGUGGAAGGCAAAGGUAAAUACAACCCUAAAUUUUCUCUUUUCUAUCUUCGACCAUUAUUUUUUAAUAGCCAUCUAAAAUUUUGCAUCUUAUAUAUAAAAAUCAUUUGCUGUGCGUUAGUCUCGCUAAAACUCGAGAAUGGCUGGACCGAUGUGGCUAAUUUUGAUGUUGAAUUAUUUGUGGAAGUUCAGGGAAGGUUUAUACGGUUUUAUAUUGUCAUGUUAGUAGCCACCAAAAUUUUUACAGCUAUAUGUAUAAAAUGCUCUUUUUACAGUGUUUGUUGCCAUACUCCUCCGAAACGACUUGACCGAUUUUUAUCAGAGUUUGCAGAUAUACUCGACCGGACUGGGAGUAGGUUUUUAUCUAUAUUUCUUAUCCGUGCGUCUUAAGGGGGGUUGCCCCCCUUAUAUUUAUUUCUACUUUUUCAGACAAACUCUUUUUUUUUUUAAUUUCAUAUGAUGUGGAACGUAAAGAUACAUACAAUCCUAAAUUUUCACUUUUCUAUCACUAACCGUUAUUUUUUAAUGGCCAUUUAAAUAUUUUACAUCUAUAUAAACAAAAGAAAGUCGUGACAGUUACCAACACAUAACUCGAGAACGACUGAAUAGAUUUUUAUGAAAUUUUCCACGUAUAUUCGACCGGACCGAGAAUAGGUUGUUAUGUAUUUUUCAUAUCCGUACGUCGUAACGGGGGCUGCCCCCCUAAUAUAUUUUUUUAUUUUUUUGGUCAAACUGUUUUUUCUUAAUUUUGUGUGAUGUGGAAGGCAAAGGUAAAUACAACCCUAAAUUUUCUCUUUUCUAUCUUCGACCAUUAUUUUUUAAAAGCCAUCUAAAAUUUUGCAUCUUAUAUAUAAAAAUCAUUUGCUGUGCGUUAGUCUCGCUAAAACUCGAGAAUGGCUGGACCGAUGUGGCUAAUUUUGAUGUUGAAUUAUUUGUGGAAGUUCAGGGAAGGUUUAUACGGUUUUAUAUUGUCAUUUUAGUAGCCACCAAAAUUUUUACAGCUAUAUGUAUAAAAUGCUCUUUUUACACUGUUUGUUGCCAUACUCCUCCGAAACGACUUGACCGAUUUUUAUGAGAGUUUGCAAAUAUACUCGACCGGACUGGGAGUAGGUUUAUGUCUAUAUUUCAUACCUCUAGAUCAUAAGGGGGUUGCGUGUGACGUCAUA